UGAGGAAUAUUGGGCAAUGCCCGCAAGGGUGACCCAGCAACGCCGCGUGGAGGAUGAAUGUCGUAAGAUUGUAAACUCCUGUUAGAGGGGAAGAAUAGUACCGGUUGGACCGGUAUAUGACUGUACCCUCAGAGAAAGCCCCGGCUAACUACGUGCCAGCAGCCGCGGUAAUACGUAGGGGGCAAGCGUUGUCCGGAUUUACUGGGUGUAAAGGGCGCGCAGGCGGGAUAAAAAGUCAGUGGUGAAAUCCUACAGCUUAACCGUAGAACUGCCUUUGAUACUUUUAUUCUUGAGUUCGGGAGAGNGAGACGGAAUUCCAGGUGUAGUGGUGAAAUACGUAGAUAUCUGGAAGAACACCAGUUGCGAAGGCGGUCUCUUGGUCCGACACUGACGCUGAGGCGCGAAAGCGUGGGGAGCAAACA
rnacentral:rRNA from 1 species